GCCAUCGUAGUAUAGUGGCAGUACUCAGCGUUGUGACCGCUGCGACGCAGGUUCGAUUCCUGCCGAUGGCA